GACGAACGCUGGCGGCGUGCCUAAUACAUGCAAGUAGAACGCUGAAGAUAGGAGCUUGCUCUUCUUGGGUGAGUCGCGAACGGGUGAGUAACUCGUAGUUAACCUGCCUUUUAGCGGGGGAUAACUAUUGGAAACGAUAGCUAAUACCGCAUAACAAUUGAUGACAUAUUUCAUUUAUUUGCAAUGGGCAAUUGCUCCACUACAAGUUGGAUCUGCGUUGUAUUAGCUAGUAGGUGAGGUAAUGGCUCACCUAGGCGAAGAUACAUAGCCGACCUGAGAGGGUGAUCGGCCACACUGGGACUGAGACACGGCCCAGACUCCUACGGGAAGGAGCAGUAGGGAAUCGUCGGAAAGGGGGGCAACCCGGAGCGAGCAACGCCGCGGGAGUGUAGAAGGUUUUCGGAUCAUAAAGCUCUGUUGUAAGUCAAGAACGGGUGUGAGAGUGGAAAGUUCACACUGUGACGGUAGCUUACGAGAAAGGGACGGCUAACUACGUG
rnacentral:rRNA from 1 species